ensembl:snoRNA
AACCUCCUGGGAUCGCCUCUGAGGAGCGGCUAGUAUUCUGUCAGCUUUGGAAAUGGAAGGAAAAGCAAACCUGGCAGGUAUAUCCCUUCCAUUCCCAGCUUGCACAGUAGCCGAUGAUUGGAAGAUGCUGUGCAACGGUG